AGAACGAACGCUGGCGGCAUGCCUAAUACAUGCAAGUCGAACGAACACUUCGGUGUUAGUGGCGCACGGGUGCGUAGCGCGUGGGAAUCUGCCCUUGGGUUCGGAAUAACAGUUGGAAACGACUGCUAAUACCGGAUGAUGACGAAAGUCCAAAGAUUUAUCGCCCAGGGAUGAGCCCGCGUAGGAUUAGCUAGUUGGUGAGGUAAAGGCUCACCAAGGCGACGAUCCUUAGCUGGUCUGAGAGGAUGAUCAGCCACACGUGGGACUGAAGACACGGCCCAGACUCCGUACGGGAGGCAGCAGGUAGGGAAUAGUUGGAACAAGUGGGCGACAAGCCGUAGACUACCAGACCAAUCGGCCGCCGUGAGUGAUGAAGGUCCGUUAGGGUAGUAACGCCUUCGUUUACCGAG
rnacentral:rRNA from 1 species